UUGGAGGCCCAGAAAGGAAGGAAGAGCUUGAACACCGUUUUUCUAGUUAUUAUCUUAAACUGCAGGCACAGAAGUUUCCACAGACCUUUUCUGUCACACCAGCUACCUCCUUUACAAACAACGCCCUGAGAGAAACAAAUGAUGAAUCUUAGAACAGCUGCAAGAGGCUUUGUAGCUUUCCUUCUAUCAGUACCAGCAUUACAGGGUAAUGAUGGCUGGGCAGUUACUUACCAAGCUAUUAAGAAUGUCUGCGCUUGGAGAGGAUCAACAGUUGAAAUCAGCUGCACCUAUGAAUACCCCAAAACCUUUACAUUGAAUAAAAUACUGUGGUAUACUAAUAAACACAAUGAGCUAGUAGAUCUGAGAGAUGAUACCAACUAUACAGGUCGUGUUGAUUACCGCUGUGGAGAGCCCAGCUGUUGGUAUUACAGCAGCUGUAUUGGAACGUGUACACUGAGGAUCAGAGGCCUGACACAGAGUGACUCUGCUGAAUACAAGUUAAGGAUUACAACAAACAAAGGAGAGGCAUAUAGUGGUGUCCCUGGAGUGAAGUUAUCUGUGACAGAUCUCCAGGUGAAAGUGGUCAUUCCUCCUUACAAUCCUAACUGGGUACAGCUGGAAUGUCACAGUAUGUGUCAUCGUACUGGUUAUGAUGGAUACACCUGGUACAGGGAUGGAACUCGACGACAUCAAGGAAGGUUGGACUGGUUCAACAUUAACUCUGAAUACAGGUCUUCAUGUGCUGUUCAAGGAUCCGAACAUCUCCCCUCUCCAUCAGUGUACGCUCCAGAGACCCCCUCAGUGGGAUGGACUCCCCCUGGUGUAAUAGAGGAGGGCAGUUCAGUGAAUCUGACCUGCACCAGCGAGGCCAACCCAGUAGCAAAGUACACCUGGACCAAGGUUACUACAGGUCAUCCCCCCGGACACAGUGUCCAAGGACAACAACUUUCCUUUAAUACCAUCCAGUCUUCAGACUCUGGACAAUAUCUCUGUAAAGCUGAGAAUGACCUAGGAACAAAAUCAUCCCCCAUCUCUAUUGAUGUGAAAUAUGGGCCUAAACACACAUUUGUGAUACCAAGUCCCCCUGGUGAAAUAAUGGAGGGCGGUUCAGUGACUCUGAGCUGCAGCAGUGAUGCCAACCCAGCAGCUGACUACACCUGGUUCAAGGACAACCAACCUCUGCCCUGGGAACCAAGGAGACCUUAUACCUUGGACCCAGUCAGCUCUAAAGACAGGGGAACGUACCGCUGCCACGCAGAGAACCAAUAUGGAUAUCUGGGCUCCAACUCGGUUUUCAUAGAUGUCCUGUGAGGACUCCAGCAUACAUGCUCCUAGUGUCACUUACAAAGACGCUCCAAAGACCCCCUCAGUGAGCGUGAGACCCCUUGGUGAAAUAAAGGAGGGAGGUUCAGUGACUCUGAGCUGCAGCAGUGAUGCCAACCCAGCAGCUAACUACACCUGGUUCAGGGAACAUGGAGGCUCAGUGGAGGAAUUAGGAGAGAACUACACCAUCAGUAACAUCACAACUGAGCUUGGAGGAAAUUAUUACUGUGAAGCUCGUAAUGCAGUUGGACUUCAGAAUUCAACUUUGAUGUUCCUUAAUGUGACAGCCACACCACCAUCUCCACCAUCAUCAAUGUCUACAACUGUGGCAGCAGGAACUGUAGCUGUUUUACUGGCCACCAUGCUCCUCGUCAUCUUCCUCUUGAUGAGAAGAAAGAGGGCUUCUAGGAAAGCACGUGGCCAGGGAGGAAGGCCAGAUACCAGGGAGGAGUCUCCUCCGUGUCCUGUGUAUUACAACGUCUCAGCUCUGACCAAUCGCUCGGCUUCUGCAGCACAGAGAGAACCAAUAGAAGAGCAGGAUGACCCUCACUAUGCCAGCAUCCACAUCUCUCGCUCUAAGAACCAGGAAGUGCCUCGUGGGUUUGCUGGUGCUCUGGUAGAGUCUGAUCAGACAGAGCAGGUCCUUUACUCUGCCAUCAACCUUAAAAGACCCAAGGCUGUCCCUGAGUAAGCACUCUUGAUAGUUCUCGAAAAUAAACUUUGAGGCUUGAGACUUCAUCCUCCCAAGGGACAGCUUGUGGAGGCAAAGCCAUUUAUAAACAUGGACAAUUUACUGAGUUUCUUAACUUCUCUUUCUCGUUUUCACUUCUUCUUUUCAUUUAAAGUAAACUGAUGUCAGAUACCACCAUCAAAUAAACAGCCCAGCAUUAAAUGGGUUUUAAUAACAUUUCUAGCAAUAAAUGUGUAUUUUAUUGUCAUCAUCUUCGUUCAUUGAUUGUAUAUAUCGUUUAGUUUGUUAGUUACUAAUAAUAUUUUUCUUGCCAGAAAAAAACGCUUUCUAACAUUGGUUUGUUGGUCGAUAUGGGUGCUGCUAUCACAAAAGAUAUAUAUCAAAUGUAUAAAUUUUUUUGUUGACAUUCAUUUUAUUCUCAGUCGAAAAUGCUUGUUUCGGCAUUAAAAUGUGUUCUAACCCUAA